UACAGAGGUGGCAAGCGUUGUUCGGAAUUACUGGGCGUAAAGGGCGCGUAGGCGGCCUACUAAGUCAGACGUGAAAUCCCCCGGCUUAACCUGGGAACUGCGUCUGAUACUGGAAGGCUUGAGAUUGGGAGAGGGAUGCGGAAUUCCAGGUGUAGCGGUGAAAUGCGUAGAUAUCUGGAGGAACACCGGUGGCGAAGGCGGGUCUCUGGGCAACAACUGACGCUGAGGAGCGAAAGCGUGGGGAGCGAACAGG
rnacentral:rRNA from 1 species